rnacentral:sRNA from 1 species
UAUCAGCUCUUGUUGUAGCGCGAGUGCGC